CCUACGGGGGGCUGCAGUGGGGAAUAUUGGACAAUGGGCGAAAGCCUGAUCCAGCCAUGCCGCGUGUGUGAAGAAGGCCUUCGGGUUGUAAAGCACUUUCAGUGGGGAAGAAAGCCUUGGGGCUAAUACCCUCGAGGAAGGACAUCACCCACAGAAGAAGCACCGGCUAACUCCGUGCCAGCAGCCGCGGUAAUACGGAGGGUGCGAGCGUUAAUCGGAAUUACUGGGCGUAAAGCGCGCGUAGGCGGUCUGAUAAGCCGGUUGUGAAAGCCCCGGGCUCAACCUGGGAACGGCAUCCGGAACUGGCAGGCUAGAGGGCAGGAGAGGAAGGUAGAAUCCCCGGUGUAGCGGUGAAAUGCGUAGAGAUCGGGAGGAAUACCAGUGGCGAAGGCGGCCUUCUGGACUGACACUGACGCUGAGGUGCGAAAGCGUGGGUAGCAAACAGGAUUAGAUACCCGAGUAGUC
rnacentral:rRNA from 1 species